rnacentral:lncRNA from 10 species
AUGGCUCUGGCCCUUUGCCCUGGGGUGGUGUACGGGCAUGAGGGUCACAUCUCGGUUUCCCUUGCAGCUGGCGAGUCUUUCUUCCUGGCUUACCCAACUAUGUGCACAUUCCCAGUUACCGCCCUCCGGUCCGGAGGCAUCGCAACCCCAACCGGCCUGAGUAAGGACCCGAAGCUGUGCUGGGCCCCUCCCAUGGCUUUCCCCUGGACGCCUGCCUCCUCCCCGCCCCUUGGAUCCCAGCUGCCCUGCGCUUCUCCCCACAGGUGGAAUGGCUAUAUUCCGGGAUUCCCAAUUCUCAUCAACUUUAAGGCCACCAAGUUCCUGAACUUAAAUCUCCGCUACUCCUUCCUCAAGACAGCCUCCUUCUUCGUCCGCCUGGGGCCCAUGGCACUGGCUUUCAAAGUCCGCGGCCUGUUGGACUGCAAACAUUCGUGGAAGAGGCUGAAGGACAUUAGGAAAAUUUUCCCUGGGAAGAAAUCUGUCGUCUCCGAGUACGUGGCCGAGCACUGGGCAGAGGACACCUUCUUUGGGUACCAGUACCUCAACGGCGUCAAUCCCGGCUUGAUUCGCCGCUGCACGCGGAUCCCAGACAAGUUCCCCGUCACAGACGACAUGGUGGCUCCGUUCCUGGGCGAGGGAACAUGCUUGCAAGCGGAGCUGGAGAAGGGGAACAUUUACCUGGCCGACUAUCGCAUCAUGGAGGGCAUCCCCACCGUGGAGCUCAGCGGCCGGAAGCAGCACCACUGCGCCCCACUCUGCCUGCUGCACUUCGGACCCGAGGGCAAGAUGAUGCCCAUCGCCAUCCAGGUGCCUAGGCUGUAGGCGGCGCUGCCGCUGAGCCUCUGUGUGCGCGAAUGUUCCUCCGAGUGCGCGCGCGCUUAUGUGAGCGUGUGGACCCUGUGUGUAUUCAGCCGUCUCUUGGUAUCCUUGAGAGAGUGGUUUCAGGACCUCCCUGGGAUGCCAAAAUCUGCAGAUGCUCAAGUUUCUUAUA